UCUAGUAGCCAGUUGUGAGAAGGUGGUGAGCAUUCAGAAGGUAUCUGCUCUGUGCCUGACACAUUUCAAGCAGUUCCGUGCAUCACUUCUUUUUUCAAAGAAAUGUGUCAGAGGAGGGGCAAGACGGCGGAAGAGUAGGGUCCCCAAGUCACCUGACCCCACCAAAUUACCUAGAUAACCUUCAAAUCGUCCUGAAAAUCUACGAAUUCGGCCUGAGAUUUAAAGAGAGAACAGCUGAAACGCUACAGUGAGAAGAGUCCGCGCUUCUAUCCAGGUAACACCAGAGCUAAUAACAUGCUGCAGAGACAGGCUAACUGUAACCUUAAGGUGAAUGGAUGUAACAAGAUCUAUAAUCCUAUCUGCGGGAGUGAUGGAAUUACCUAUGCUAAU